CGCUGGCGGCGCGCCUAACACAUGCAAGUCGAACGAGAGAUGAGGAGCUUGCUCUUCAAAUCGAGUGGCGAACGGGUGAGUAACGCGUGAGGAACCUGCCUCAAAGAGGGGGACAACAGUUGGAAACGACUGCUAAUACCGCAUAAGCCCACGGCUCGGCAUCGAGCAGAGGGAAAAGGAGCAAUCCGCUUUGAGAUGGCCUCGCGUCCGAUUAGCUAGUUGGUGAGGUAAUGGCCCACCAAGGCGACGAUCGGUAGCCGGACUGAGAGGUUGAACGGCCACAUUGGGACUGAGACACGGCCCAGACUCCUACGGGAGGCAGCAGUGGGGAAUAUUGCACAAUGGGGGAAACCCUGAUGCAGCGACGCCGCGUGGAGGAAGAAGGUCUUCGGAUUGUAAACUCCUGUUGUUGAGGAAGAUAAUGACGGUACUCAACAAGAAAGUGACGGCUAACUACGUGCCAGCAGCCGCGGUAAAACGUAGGUCACAAGCGUUGUCCGGAAUUACUGGGUGUAAAGGGAGCGCAGGCGGGAGAACAAGUUGGAAGUGAAAUCCAUGGGCUCAACCCAUGAACUGCUUUCAAAACUGUUUUUCUUGAGUGGUGCAGAGGUAGGCGGAAUUCCCGGUGUAGCGGUGGAAUGCGUAGAUAUCGGGAGGAACACCAGUGGCGAAGGCGGCCUACUGGGCACCAACUGACGCUGAGGCUCGAAAGUGUGGGUAGCAAACAGGAUUAGAUACCCUGGUAGUCCACACCGUAAACGAUGAUUACUAGGUGUUGGAGGAUUGACCCCUUCAGUGCCGCAGUUAACACAAUAAGUAAUCCACCUGGGGAGUACGACCGCAAGGUUGAAACUCAAAUGAAUUGACGG
rnacentral:rRNA from 1 species